rnacentral:rRNA from 1 species
AUUGAACGCUGGCGGCAGGCCUAACACAUGCAAGUCGAGCGAGCGGCGGACGGGUGAGUAAUGUAUGUGGCCUGCCCGUUAGAGGGGGAUCACUUCUGGAAACGGUGGCUAAUACCGCAUACUCUCGGCUAACCCAUAUGUGAUUAGCUAGUAGGUGGGGUAAAGGCGCACCUAGGCGACGAUCUCUAGCUGGUCUGAGAGGAGGAUAGGCCAAACUGGGACGGAGACACGGCCAAGACUCCUACGGAGGCAGCAGUGGGGAAGAGUGCACAAUGGGCGAAAGCCUGAUGAAGCCAUGCCGCGUGUAUGAAGAAGGCCUUAGGGUUGUAAAGUACUUUCAGCGGGGAGGCGUUACCCGCAGAAGAAGCACCGGCUAACUCCGUGCCAGCAGCCGCGGUAAUAC